rnacentral:rRNA from 1 species
GAUGAACGCUGGCGGCGUGCCUAAUACAUGCAAGUCGAGCGAACGGACGAGAAGCUUGCGUCUCUGAUGUUAGCGGCGGACGGGUGAGUAACACGUGGAUAACCUACCUAUAAGACUGGGAUAACUUCGGGAAACCGGAGCUAAUACCGGAGGAUAUUUUGAACCGCAUGGUUGAAAAGUGAAAGACGGUCUUGCUGGCACUUAUAGAUGGAUCCGUGCUGCAUUGGCUAGUUGGUAAGGUAACGGCUUACCAAGGCAACGAUGCGUAGCCGCCCUGAGAGGGUGAGCAGCCACCCUGGGAGUGAGACAGGGCCCAGACUCCUGCGGGAGGGAGCCGUAGGGAAUCGUCCGCAAUGGGCGAAAGCCUUACGGCGCAACGCCGAGUGCGUGAUGAAGGUCUUCGGAUCCUAGAUCUCUGUUAUUAGGGAGUAACAUAUGUGCACGUAACUGUGCACGUCUUUACGGUACCUAAUCAGAAAGCCACGGCUAACUACGUG